AAAGCCUUCCCCACCAUCAUCACCAAGAAUCAACAUGUUAACGACUCUUAUGUAAGGAAAGAAAGAAAGAAGAGUAAACAAUUAUAGUAUAAGCAAUUAACUUUGGAGUUGACUGGUAUAGUUUAAAAUUCAAAACUCAUGUGGAAUGUAAUUUUCUUUCCUAAUACUUCAUUUCUUCUGACAUGCACUUAUCUUUCUUUGAUUUUUAUAUUGAAAGAACAUAAAAGCAGGAGGAAGAGGAAAAAGAAAAGUCAUGAACAUCAUCGUAUCUUAGCCUUUUCUCCCAGCGAUUUCGGGGUGCCUUUUAAAUGGUAGAUUGGCAAGAGUUCUACAAACGGCUCUGCCCACCAGACAUUAUCCUCCAUCAGUAAUAGAUUCAUGUGUGCCACUAAUUAGAUGAUAGGGCAUUUGGAAGCAGGAAGGAGACUGAAGUGGCAUAUGCAGGAGGACUGAGAAGUUCACAUUUUCUUCAUUCUUCUUUUCAUUUCCCUGAUAUUCCAUUAUAUUAAAGAAGUCUUGUACUAAGAAAGAUUUGAUUCACAACUUUGAAAAUCACAGAGCAACAAUAUUUUUGUGAAUUCAGAUUCCUCAUGUUUGAAGUAACCUUGGAUUCAAGCAUGGCUUAAACUGAAAUACCUUCAAAGCAAAAAAAAAAAAAAAAAAAAACACCAACUCUCUGUACAUUCUUUAUUUCAUUUUUCUGAUAUUCAGUUGUAGUGAAGACGUCUUUUACUAAAAAGAUUUGGACGGUGAGAAGUUUUUGUGAACUUGAAUUCCCCGUGUUUGUUUAAAUAAUGUUGUAUUUAACCCUGGCUUAAUAAAAUUCCUUCAAUGCAAAAAUAAAUAAAUAAUCUGUGGCUAUCAGACACCUUUUGGAUGCCAAACAAAUCAAGCAUGGCGACAAGAUCUUCAACAAGGUCCAUGAAAGAUGCUUUUUCCAGUUCGGGAGGCUGUUCGGAGAGUCCGUAGCCUCUGCAAUCAGGAGUGAUGGCCCGAAAUCCAGCAUCAGCAACUGCAAUCAUCUGGUGCCUCCACGAGUACCAUAUCUCAGGGAAUCCAUGCAAGAAAACCACCACCACAGAACCUGCACUUGAACAACAACACUUAAAAACCAUACAAAA